rnacentral:rRNA from 1 species
CUCUCGGCAAGGGAUAUCUAGGCUCUCGCAUCGAUGAAGAACGUAGCGAAAUGCGAUACUUGGUGUGAAUUGCAGAAUCCCGCGAAUCAUCGAGUUUUUGAACGCAAGUUGCGCCCGAAGCCAUUCGGCCGAGGGCACGUUUGCCUGGGUGUCACGCAUCGUUGCC